UGAAAAAAUAGAGUGUUCAAAGCAGGCCUAUGCCCGAAUACAUUAGCAUGGAAUAAUAGAAUAGGACGUGUGGUUCUAUUUUGUUGGUUUCUAGGACCGCCGUAAUGAUUAAUAGGGAUAGUCGGGGGCAUCAGUAUUCAAUCGUCAGAGGUGAAAUUCUUGGAUUGAUUGAAGACUAACUACUGCGAAAGCAUUUGCCAAGGAUGUUUUCAUUGAUCAAGAACGAAAGUUAGGGGAUCGAAGACGAUCAGAUACCGUCGUAGUCUUAACAGUAAACUAUGCCG
rnacentral:rRNA from 15 species